GAACACAACUCUGGUGUAGCAACGAUACAAUAAUAAGUCUACAAGGGGAAUUAAAAUCAAGAAAAACGUUGAUAAUAUUCCUUGAGAGAGAGAGAGAGAGAGAGGAAAUUUUAUUCACAAUUUCAACGUGAAUUAAUUGAGGUGAAAGAGAAUUUGAUAUGUACACUAAAGAGGGGGGAGACGGGAGAGAAAGAUAGCCGCAAACGAAGAAA